GCACGAAACCUUUACAAUGCACGAAAGUGCGAUAAGGGGACUCCGAGUGCGGUCUUCCCACAAGGAAGGCCGCUUUUCUGCACUGUAAGGAGGUGCCGGAACAAGGGGUGGGCAAUACUGCUGCCAGCCGCCGCGGUAAUAGCAGAACCCCGAGUGGUAGCCACUAUUAUUGGGCUUAAAGUGUUCGUAGCCUGCCAUGUAAGUCCGCUGUGAAAUCCAAGCGCUCAACGUUUGGAAGGGCAGCGGAUACUGCACGGCUUGGGACCGGACGGCGUCGAGGCUAUUCCAGGAGUAGGAGUGAAAUCCAAAAAUUCCUGGAGGAGCACCUGUGGCGAAAGCGCUCGACGAGUACGGAUCCGACGGUGAGGAACGAAAGCCAGGGGAGCAAAGG
rnacentral:rRNA from 1 species